rfam:Colinus virginianus strain Texas jcf7180006227146, whole genome shotgun sequence.
GCCGUGCUCUCAGGGUCCAGUUUUCCCAGGAAUCCCUUAGGCGCUGUGUUGGGGAUUCCUGGAAAUACUGUUCUUGGGGUCACGGC